UACGUAGGGGGCUAGCGUUGUCCGGAAUCAUUGGGCGUAAAGCGCGUGUAGGCGGCUCGGUAAGUCCGCUGUGAAAGUCGGGGGCUCAACCCUCGGAUGCCGGUGGAUACUGUCGGGCUAGAGUACGGAAGAGGCGAGUGGAAUUCCUGGUGUAGCGGUGAAAUGCGCAGAUAUCAGGAGGAACACCGAUGGCGAAGGCAGGUCUCUGGGCCAUUACUGACACUGAGAAGCGAAAGCAUGGGGAGCGAACAGG
rnacentral:rRNA from 1 species